GACGAAGGAUGCAAGCGUUAUCCGGAUUCAUUGGGUUUAAAGGGCGCGUAGGCGGCCCUAUAAGUCAGUGGUGAAAUCUCUCGGCUUAACCGAGAAAUUGCCAUUGAUACUGUAGGGCUUGAGUACAGUUGCCGUUGGCGGAAUAUGACAUGUAGUGGUGAAAUACAUAGAGAUGUCAUAGAACACCGAUUGCGAAGGCAGCUAACGAAGCUGUAACUGACGCUGAGGCUCGAAAGUGCGGGGAUCAAACAGG
rnacentral:rRNA from 1 species